rnacentral:ncRNA from 1 species
CCAAUGUCGAUGAAGGAGAAAAGUAGGUAAGAUCCCAGUCUCACAGGGAGGAAACGUCACCGACUGCAAGCGUUUCCAGACAUGGCUGACUGAAGUUCUCUCCGGAGAUGCCGACUGAACAAAGUAGUAGGUUAGGCCGUAGUUCCCACGUUACAGGGAAGGGGGUAUCGGACUUGGUUCCCGUACUCUGCAUAAGGGGAUCUCUUUUUUCCUAAAAAAGAGAUCAAUUAGGGUGGUAACGCGGUAAGCAUUAAGCUUCUCGUCCCUAUU